UUUAGCGGUUCGUCUGAAGCGCUGAACUAUGGGGGUUGUCUAGCAGUUUCGCAAGACUCAGUGAAGGAGAACAGUUCUGUUACAUAUGUACAUGUAAAAUUAGCAAACUGGGUUACGUUGGACGGAAUGCGCACGGGCUAUCCGAUCACUGUUGUAAUACCAUCUAAAAGGUUGACUACCCAUCUCCAAGCAGGCGGCUACAGCGAACCCAACAGAGGUUACAAAGGAAUCCGCGCGCAGGAAGUUUGCCGCGUGCAAGCUUCAGACGCCGCUUUGCCUGACAGUUUCAUGACGUCUUGGAGUGGGUGGGAAUGAGAAACGACAUACCCCAGGCACUGCAUGAUAAUUCGAGAGAGCAACUGGAGAUGAGCUAUGACCUCUGUGAUUAAUGGAACAUGCCCAUUGGUUUUUGAAGAAAGAAACGCGUGCAACAGGACAGAUCUGAUCACGGGUAACAGCAGGUUGGGGACUGGAAACGUUGUGCACUGCUGUUGCUGAGUGUUCAGAAAAGAGCAUGUGUAUUCUCAGGAGGAAAAAAAGCAUACCUGUAAUUCAGAAGGGAUUCUGCCAAGUCAGACCAAAUGAAGCCCAGAGUUUCAUUUGAAACAAGUAGACUAGUGGGACUGAAGCUAACUGCAAAGACCACACAUUACAGCCUAUUAACCCAUCAGUUCUAUUGGUACUGUAACUAAAAAUUAGACAUGGUGUGCUACUGAACACGCUUUCAUUUAAUUGGAUGCCUAUUAAUAGUCAUUUUUAUAGUAAGUGAACCACAGUACAUUGGCUCACCCAGAAAUUAGUACAGUGUUGCGUAUCUUACAUCAAUUGGUAUAUAAGGAAGCCUUUUCAUAAGCAUGUAAUGCCUGCAGACAGUCAUCCUGAAAUGACACCAUAUUACAUUGUUCAGUGAAUUACACUGUUUUUGGUACGUCGUUUCUGCCAUCAAAUACAUUGAAACUAUACACAUUG